rnacentral:rRNA from 1 species
UACGGAGGGAGCUAGCGUUGUUCGGAAUUACUAGGCGUAAAGCGCGCGUAGGCGGCUUUGUAAGUUAGAGGUGAAAGCCCGGAGCUCAACUCCGGGACUGCCUUUAAAACUGCAUCGCUUGAAUCCAGGAGAGGUGGGUGGAAUUCCGAGUGUAGAGGUGAAAUUCGUAGAUAUUCGGAAGAACACCAGUGGCGAAGGCGGCUCACUGGACUGGUAUUGACGCUGAGGCGCGAAAGCGUGGGGAGCAAACAGG